UCCACAUUUAAGCUAGCAAGCAAACAAUGUCGCUUUCGAAAGGCCUAAAGAGGAAAGUUGACAACGAAAACAGGACAUAUAAAGAAGAAAGGAAGGACAGGCUGUGCUGUGAACAAGAUGUGGGGGACUCAAGUCAGACUUAAGUCCCAAAUCUGAGGACUUGGGACUUCCUUGACUAGCACUGCACAGUUGAGUGGUUUUUAGUGCAAACCUGGCAAGCCACCAGAACACAUCAAACCAGCAGAGGGCAACACAGGUCACAGGGUGCAGCUAUCAUGGAGAGGCAUAGUCCAAAAAUAAUACAAUUUGGAUUCAAGGCUGUCACUGACAGUAGUAAGAAGAGCACAGCACUAUACUAAGUCUGCAAAACAAAAAUCAGCGGCAUGAUCAUCAUCAAAUCCAAUUUCAUCUGUCACUACAA